UUUCCGAGUGGCUCUCCCUGCGAGCGCGUUCUCGUCGCUUCGCUCCGUUCUCGAAGCUCGCCACCGAAGCUCGAGAGUGCGCCGGAUACGACAAGUGUCGUCUCGUGCGCGACGCGAGAUCCUCGUUUCUCUCGCGGCAGGCGGAAUCGUCGUCGCCGACUUCGGCUCAAUUCCGCGUCGUGAGUUUUUCUCUCUCCCUUUUGUCCGUCGCGUCGCGGGAAAGGCGAAAAAAAAAAGAAAAAAAAAAAAAAGAGAAAACAGAAAGAAAGAAACCCGAAGUUUUUGGUUCCCAAGUUCUUCCAGUUGGAAAGGUCUGUUCGGCGAUUUAUCGGGAAUCAUCGGAUGUUUUGCGUUUUCUGAGGAGAAUGUGCAGAUUUGUCGACGACGAGGGGUGAUCUCGCCAUCGAAGGUGUUCGGCGCGGACGGACACGGGCCGCGUACGUGCGGGUAUUCGAUCGAAACGGCAUCGAGGAGAAGAGGCGUGAAUUUCGGUCGAAUUUCAUCACCGCGAAAUCACGAGGUGCGGGGAAUUGGAUUUUUCUCCCUUUUUUUUUUUUUUUUUUUUUAAGCAGUUUUUUUUCCUUGCGGAGAAUUACGUUUCGCAAGAACUUUAUUCAUCGCUUGCCACAUUUGACCAGUGAAGGCCUGAGUUUUCGAGGUCGAUUGAACACCAUUAAAUGAAUUCGCCUAAUUACCAUGCCACUGAUAAGAUACGUAAUUUCCUGCUUAAAAUCCAUGGUUAUCGUUCAACGCACUCGUUUAAUAUCGCCUCGUGCACGGAUGCAUCGGAACAUUUCGGUCGUGUGCAAAAAAACUUUUCCUCUGUUCUUGAUCACUGAAACCUUUGUCGCGGUCGUGUAACAGUCCUUUAAAUUUUUUUACGCGAUAAAGGCUUAAAAUUUAUCGCGAUAAAGGCUCAAGAAUUACACGUUACGUCAAGGUACGAAAAGUUCGUCGAAUGGAUUAAUUUUGCGCUUAUUUCUAGUAAAUGUAUUCUGCAUCUUAUCACAUUACACGUCCAUUCGUGUUUUUAACUUAACCAGCAAUCAUUUAUAAUUCAGGCUGAUUGUGUUGAUAGUUAUCGUUCCAGUGUUCCGGGUGUUCCAAACUCAAAGUUCGCCAAGUGCAAUAUAUUUCCUAUUUCUAAGUUCUGAGCGUUCGCGAUGCCAUGAGUAUCCAUUUUCACUUACGAUACCGCGCCUGGUCGUAAAAUUGCCAGUGUUAAAUGUCAAGACAGAAAAUACCCUUUCUCGCGUUUGUAAUCGAAUUCACUUAUCGUUACAUAUAUAUAUAUAUGAUUAACUCGUUGAAUCGCAAUUGUUUGAAUCACAGAGGGUCAAUCUUUCAUCUAUCACGUAGGCAAACGAUUUUUCAAAAAAAUCUCGUUCGAACUCUUCAAUUUUUUCCAAUGGCUGACGAACAAGAACAAAAUCGUUCUUCCAAAGAAAAUUCGAUACUUUGCUUUCCACCCUUCCUCCUCUCGUGGUCGAUUUCGUCGAGGUCUGCCAGCAAGUUAAUGGAAACGGGCGGCGAGCACGAUGAUCGAGUUAGGGAAAGUUCGCGACAGUGUGAUCCAGUGUUUUCGUUUAAACAGACACCUGGGGGGGUCUGGGGAGGAUUCCUGGAGAUUGUCCAGGGACGGUUCGGUGAUUGUCGUGGCCGGGCGUCGCGGCGGUUCGCGCCGUGGAAGACAGUUUGACGUUCAUUAACAAAAGCAAGCGGCGUGAUAAAUAGCGCGGCGCGGAAUUGCGAAACUCGCGUGGAAUUUAAUUUCCAGAGCGAGGACGGUGGCGCGCGCGGAGCAACGUUGUUUCCAUCGAGUUGCAGCGCACUGAUUACACAACCGUCCCUUAAGCCUCAUUACCGUCACUGAAAAUUUCCAUAGUGCUCUGGGCAUGAGCGAGCGGGCGAGUGCACGACCGCCGCGUCGUGGAGAGAAGGCGCGUCUCCGGAUCACGAUUCGCCUCGAGUCCCUCGCGAGCUAUGAAUUAGCGUCCCUCGUCGUUCUCUUCCCUCCCGCUCAUCCAGACUAGCGGCUGCUUUUAAGAGAGCGAGAGUGCUUUCUUGACUUACGAUCGCCGUUAGCCCUCUCUCGUUUCCUGUUUCAAUUUCGGCACGCGCCCUCCGUGUUCCUCCUCGCGCUCUCUCUCUCUCUCUCUCUCAUCGCGCCACCCUGCUCCAACGCGCGCCGCUUCGAGAGCCUUUCGUUUUCAUUUCAUUUUCCAGAAGAUUGUUCGCGGCGUGAGCAACGUCGUGGUUAACAAAGGGGAUGUUACGUAGAAAGGUUUUUUUUCUUGCAAGUGUCGAUCUCACGUCGAGAGAAAAAAGGCUGUAGAUUUUUCAACACCAGGUAAUCGACGGUCGUUCGUUCUUUUCUUUUUUUUUUUCUGAAGGUUUCUGGUAGAGCUACGUUCGUAUAGUUAUUUUUUUUUUUUCUGCAAGUACACAGGUACUUUUCUUCGACUGUCGUGAUUCCUUUUCUAAGUGUCAUAUUCGACACUUGUACAAACAUCAUUUUCUGAAAUGAAUAACGAGAUGACUAAACAGAGAAAGACGAGGACAGGAAUUUAGAAUAUCUAUUUAUUACAUUUCCUUGUCUAGAGUUUGUCCUUCCUUUUCUUGAUAUUCAAGUAUAGAUAUUUUCCAAAAAAUAUAAAAGUUCAAACAGUAAAGCGUAAAUGUUGAAAAGAAGGGAACAAGUUGACUGAGUUCACAGCGUUCGUACGUGGAAUCGCGUCGAACGUGCCUCGGGUACGUGGCGCCCUCCACGCAAACCAGAGACGUUGUUCAGUGUUCAUCCUCUCAAGUAUUGCUUUUCCGUCUACAACGAUCUUCUCGGGAGCAUGGCUCUCGGGUUCUUUGGGAUCUCGAAGAACCGGUAUCUACCCACGGACAGUCAUGUCCGUCAUUAGUCCGACUAAUGUAACGCCUCAAAUUCUAUCGGGCCGGGCUGCAUUGCAUCCUCCUACUAGAAAGUCGAUGAAUCGUUAAUAUAGGACGUGGAACACGCCCGAUUCUAGAGAUUCUUCCAUUCUUUUCACCUGGUCUAUUUCUCUCUGUCUCUCUCCGAGUCGAAUAUAGGAUUAUGUCGAAGCGCGAUUUCUUUCGACCGUAAUUAUUCCUCUUUCUCUCUUUUUUCCGUCUCUGUUUUUACGUCCCAGCGUUGACUGUUAGUCGAACUAGGUAUGCUUCGAAUUAAUCGUGGAUAGGGAAGAGUUGACGUGACUCGUUAGUCAGGGAGACUCUCGGGUUUUGUAAUGGAAUGAAGCGAUCAGCAAUGAUAGAAUCGUGAAGAGAGUGGAAACACGGACAAGCAGAGUACAACGAAUCGAUUAUAACCGGCGGCUUGCUUUUUCCCUCGUUAUGGGUGAUUAAACAAUCGUGUGUUUCGUCGCGUCUGUUGGUGUCUGCGGCCGAGUCUCAAGUGGUUCGUUAAUGUUCGAUGGUGUGUCUCUCUGUUUUAUUCCACUGCGUGGCUGCCCGCCACUGCUAAUAACGUGCUUACGCGAGAAGAAAGUCGUCGCGAAAACAAUACUCGUCGUAGAAAAUACCGCGACGAGAAGUCUUCGUAAAAGUAUGUCCGAUGAAAAGUUACAAUAAAUCAAAGAAUCAUUUGCGAAACAUCGAGUGUUAUUUAUUCCGUUAUCGAUUCCGUUGAAAAUUCCUGUCCCUAUUCACGACGUUUCCUAACAACCAACCGUGAUAGUAUGUAUUAUUGUCGUCUCCUUUCAAGUUUCUACUAUCUUUUUCAUCAUCGUAUUCAUGAUUUCAGGGAAGGAAUUUAAUGAUCAGAAAAAUAAAUUGUCAGUGCGAAUUAUAAAAUAACGAGGAGGAUCAGGUUUGGUUUCCCUUCAGAAUUUCUCUUCCCAUUUUCCUCGACAAUCUUUUCCCGGGAAUUACCUUUGGUAGACCAAUAGAAUGCAAUUUCCAUCGUUUCCUUUUCUAUUUUCCGAUCGAUCAAUUAACAUACAAGAGAAUCUAAAGAAAGUUAAAGUAAAAUCAGAGGAUCCUUUCUCUUGAAGUUCCCACUUUUGUCGAUACAUUUUCUUAGAGAACUUUCCUGUCUCUAAGAGAUAGAUCAAUAGAAUUUCUGCUCUCUGAUCUCUAAGAGAUAGAUCAAUAAUAGAAUUUCUGCUCUCCGAUCGAUAUUUAUUAACAUGCCAAAGGACCUAAAGAUCCAGCCAGUUCCGAACGAAAAGUAAGAAAAGAAGAAGAUCCGAGGUUGGAAUUAACCGACUUAACCGCGGUAUUUCUUAAAUCGUCGUCAGAGAAAGAGAGAGAAUCCCGAUCGAGGUCUCGAUAGUUGACCCACCAUCCGCUUAUUACACAUCUUCGCUUCCCGGCUACUUUCUUUCUCCUUGUCCUUCCUUUUUUCACCGUCGCGCACGAUCGAGGAAGAAAGGACUCGAGAGAGAGCCCGAUCAAGGCGAUGAAGAUAUCAAACGGAUGCACGCCGGAUAAAGAGGUGAAGAGGCACUCCGAUCGGACAUCAGUAUAUAUCACUGACGCGAGAUACUUUUGGAAGGAAAUUAGACGACUUUUGACGAUUUAACUGGUCGUUUAAACGUGAUUUCCCCGAUGGUUCGAGUCGGGUCGAAUUUGUUGGAAACUCGCUGAUUCAGCUCGUACCACGCCACGUCAUCCAGAAACGGAUGACGUCUGAUUCUUGGUAAAAGGAAGGGGACGUGUCGUACUAGUGUAAAAUAACAGAGAUUCGGUGAAAAAUUUAAUGUCAGAUGUCUGAAACUAGAGUUGUCAAAAUGUAGCAGUAUCGAUUUUGGGAUUCAAAUAAUUUCUCGCUUGAAAAUAUUUUUGUUUCUUUCAAUUACGUAUGAACAUCUCGACAUCUCUGACCCACAUAUUCUAUUCUCGCUGUAGCAAAUGUAGUCAAAUUCUCGUAAUAAAUUUUAAAUAUGAAA